rnacentral:lncRNA from 1 species
UUUAUCAAAAAAAAAACUUUAAGUUUAAUUUUGUAAGAAACUUAUGCUUGAUUUUUCCCAAUUGGCUGAAUACAGUUACUUUUAUUUGUCACUAAUUAUCGACUCUUGCUUGAAUACUAGCUCUAUUAUUAAAAAAAAAAUGUUAGAACCUUCAGAUAAAUCGAACACUAAAUGUGUUGUUUAUGACACUUACAAGUGAUUCAAAUAAAAAUCUAAUCGGCCGGGUCAAACAAAGUUCCGACAAGCAGACUUAUA